AGGUGCACGCACGUGUCCAACAACGACCCUUAGCCUCGGACGGCAGCAGCGACCAUCACCAAUGACGGCAGCGACAGGGGGUGAAUUGGUUCUGCAGGUUUGUUGCUGUCAUCGUUUCUUCUGUUCCUUCACCGUUUUGGUCGUCCUGUCGUGUGUUGCUGCUUCAAGAGACUGCAUCGUUCAUGCUUCUGGUUGGCUUCUUCCUUUGACGUUAGUUUACUGCUGGUCGCACUCCUAAUGACCUAACAGACAUGCAUCCAUGGUGACUUGGUGAUCUUAAGCAUGUCGAAAAACAUGACAAAAGACAUCCAAUAGCAAGCAAAUUAGUGAAAUAUUUAACCAGCGCAGGGAGCUUACAAGGGCAUGCAGAGAGUUUAUCAGAUGCAUCAGUCAGAUAUUUCAGUUCAGCAUCGUCUUCUCAGACUAACUCAACUGACGAAAAUGGGUUUUCAUUCGAUAUAUUUAGAAGCCACAACUGACUUUGAAAGCAUGGCCUUUCCAGGUUUAAGGGGCAUGGCAUGUUGGCACCAUUCACAGCUGGAUGUCAGAGCAAUGAUGUGCAUCUGCUGGUUAUUGGGAGAUCUGAGGGUUCUUAUGUUUAUGACAUCAACAGAAUAAGUAUCUAGAUUCUCUAGCAGGACUGUGGAGUACAAAUUUAGGUGGUAGUGAGCCUCGAUUAGUCAAAGCUGCAACUGACCAAUUAAACAAGUUACCCUUCUAUCACUCCUUCUGGAACCGUACAACCAAACCAACAUUGGGGGGUGGAUCUCAAGGGGAGAGGUGUUGUCCUCCAGAGCUGCUGGAUCCUAAAAUAAAGGAGGAGGAGCGUGGCCGAAAGACGGCGGCCAGUCCGACCAUGUGCUCACUUCACCCCCUUCUCCCUUCCAAUUUUGGAUUUGAUCUGGACGCCGCCGUCGCCGUGGUUGCCUCGCCGUCGUGGCUCAGAAGUAAAUUCUAGCACAGAAGCCAUAUUGCAGAUUGAAGAGUUUCAGGUUGACAAGAUGAAUUUAUCCCCAGAUGUUUAUACAGGGAAUGAGGCAUACCAUUGAUAGUUUGAAUCAAACCAGUAGAGGACGCCACCAUCGAUUAUGGUGUCGAGCAACAGAACUGCAGUGAUCUGGCAGUGUGACUGUUGACCUCCUUGACACCAUUCACGUUCGUCGCUCUGAACCCACUCAGCAGACAAGUUGGCAUAGACAUGUUUACAUCAGCAAUCUUUUCUUUGAGAUAUCUGGUGGCCUUUCAUAACCAUCGAAUUCAAGUCAUCUUUGAGUACACGACAUCUUCUGAAGUUCGUGCCAUCAUGCUUUAGUUUCCCACAUGGGCUGAGAUUAUUCAAAUAAAAAGACAGUCUCAGGCACAAGAGCAUGAUGUGCUUGCGCCAGUUGCUUUCACACCAAGGCCACGCGGUUGAUCAUCUAAGCGCACCUAUGAAGUUGACCGACAAGGCAGUUGGACAGAGCUACUAAUUAGUAUGCCUAAUAGCUGUUGCUUUGUAGUUUGACCUCCUCUACCAUCAGUAUGCCUGGCUUUUGCUUUCUUAUUAUGUUCCUGCUAUUAGUACUUCCUCUCUCGUGUUCGUGCUCUUAUUUUUGAACUUAAUGUUGUAUUUAUUAGGUUUUGUGGUCUAAUGAACUAACUGAGUGUUUAUAAUUUCAUGAUGAUGUUGAACUCGAUAA